ensembl:lncRNA CASC15 cancer susceptibility 15
GUCUUUGUGACUGGCACUCAUGGACAGACAGUGGUGUUCAGGGACAGAACAGAUUUUGGAGGGGGUGGGGAGGCCAAUAAACCAAGAAACGUCAGAAAUAAAAGUCGCAUGAAGUACUCUGAUCUCUGUAUUUCCUUUUUUUUUUUUUUUUUUUUGAAAUUUGAUUUUAACUCUUGCUUUUUUUUAUGGUUUGUGUCUGUUUUUUCCACCCCCGCUGGCGCCGAGCUGCGCUGUUUUGUGUUUCUUUUUUUUUUUUUUUUUCUAUUUUUUUUUUUUAAAUUCUGAAGCCAGACCGUCUUUCCUCACAGCUCCACGGCUGCAUCUCCGUGGGCACGCAAGCUUCCCCUGGUUACCUGAGCUGCUCCUGCCGUCUCCCGCCUGGGCUUCGCCGUGGUGCACCCGAUCCCGGAAUCGUGCGUCUGCGCCCUGCGAAAGAAGGACCUGCUGGCGGAGCUCCGGCCGGGGUCUCCUGCCUCGCAGCUGGGCGAGGGGACUUGGAGGACAGGGUGAAGCUGCAGAAGACCUGGGGUGGGAUGGCUAGAGAGGACGCCAAGGACUGGGGAAGGGGAAGUUAGGAAUACCUUACAUCCAAUGCCCACCCGUGCUCCGCAGGGCAAGGGCAGCCGUCGCCUCGGCCGCGUGCACCCAGCUCAGGCUGUUCCCAGGGAUUUAGUCUGGGGGGACAACCCAUGGCGAGAUGUGGUGGCAUUUUACCUCAGAGUGGAGCUGAAGAUGGAUAAACAAGUUCUGGAGACCAGAAGGCCAAAAUCAAAAGUAUGGGCAGGCUUGAUUUCUUUAGAAGACUCCAGCGGAGAACUGUGUCUCCUUGCUUCUGAUUCUACAUCUCCAUCCAUGGGCCACUGUUUCAGCAACCUCAGCCAGUGCAACACAACCUCAGCCAAGAAGAGUAUGCAGAGAAAGGAGUCCCCUACCUGCCACAAAACUGUUGUCUGAAAACUGUCUCAUAUUGUCUCAAGUUGUCAUUCAUUGUGAAUUAGACCUGUUUAACAUGUAAUCUGCAACAUGCUUCACUGUCUAAUUUUCCAGAGCCCCUCAUAUAAGGAACUGUAUUAUUGGUAUAAUCAUCAUGGUGAAGAAGUUGGUAUGUGGGGGAGAGAUGACAGAAACAGAGAGUAAGUCAGAGCUGGCUGCCUGACAGAUAAAAAGGAAAUGACCAAAAAAAAAAAAAAAGACACAGAAGAAUACUUUGUUGUCCACACAGAAAAGGGAAGUGUAGGUAAGACAGCAGUAGACUAAGAUUCUUAAGACUCAAGUUCUAGUCUUAUUUAUUAGCUAUGGGAGGCCUUGAGGGAGUUCUAGAAUUAAGUGAUCUCUCUUUAUAAAAUAGGAACAGUAAUAACUUCCUGGCUAACUCCCUGGCUGUCUCACAAUGCUGUAGUAGUAAGAAAUAAUUUUAUAAUUAAAGACUAUUUUAGGGCUGAUUACAUUUUUGGGCAGUGGCUCAUACAUGUAAUUUCAACAUUUUGGGAGGCCAAGGUGGGCGGAUUGCUUGAGCCCAGGAAUUCAAGACCAGGCUGGGCAACACAGACCUUGUCACUACAAAAGAAAAAAACAUUAGCUAGGCGUGGUGAUGUAUGCCUGUGGUCCCAGCUACUCAGGAAGCUGAGACAGGAGGAUCACCUGAGCCUGGGAGGUCGAGGCUACAGUGAGCCAUGAUCACACUACUGCACUCCAGCCUGGGAAACAGAGUGAGACUCUGUCUCAAAAAAAAAAAAAAAGGAAUAUUUUACACUUCAAGGUUCUAUACAAAUGUAAAAUAUCAUUCUAUUACUUAUUUAUAAUGCUGAUUAUUCUUUAAAUGACUUUAAAAUGUUAAUCUCUGCUUGAGCCUACGGAGAAGUAUGUAACAAAUUUGUGAAGGAUUGGCAUUAAACAUAGUCAAAAUAAAACAUAGAAAUUAUGGUAAAUAAUUUAACUGGUAAAAUAAUCUAAGUGGUAGUUCUCAGGUAAGUGGAAAUUCGAUUAGCUGAUUGUUUAGGAUUCUUGGUUAUAAGUGACAGAGACCUGACUAAAAGUACAUGAAGCACAUAACUGAGAAGGUUGUGGUAUGGCUCAGCAGAAAUGGGAAAAUCUUGGGACUGGUUCGUGUUUUAUUUACAUUAUCUUUGUUCCCAGGCAGUCUCUGCAUGUAAGUGGCAAAGAUGACUGUCUGAAAAUAUAUACCUACUUUUUUAAAGGGCUAUCUCAAGCCAUUCUGGAGAAGCACCAAAAGCCACUUUGCUUAUACUGGGAGAAUAGUUUGCUUUCCCUAAUUUGUGAUGAGUGAAACACUGAACAGAGACAUAGAAUAAUAUUCUGUAGUUCAGGGUUGGUGUAAUAUGGCCAGUGGGCGGAAUCUGGUCCUCAGACUGAUUUUGCAAAUAAUCUUAUAGAAACACAGCAACACCCAUUCAUUACAUGUUGUUUAUGGUUGCUUUGGGGUUACAAUGGCAGAGUUGAGUAGUUGUGACAGAGAUCACUAGGCUCACCACAUCUGAGAUAUGUACUGACUGACCCUGUACAGAAAGUUUGCUGCUCUUAGAGGAAUGUGUGUUUCUAGUGUCAGCAAUAAACUUCUUGGAUUUGUUUUGUUUUCUCAUCUUUACAUGAUAGUUGCAGACUAGUUGAUCCUUGUGACCUGUUUUUGAAUGCCACUGUGUAUUCUGUCAGGGCCCUCUGAUUCUGUUUCUUAUGGUGCUGAAUGCACAAUUUAAUGCCCUGGAAUUUCCUUCUGUCUUCUGCUAAACUCAUGCCUCUUCAGAUAGUUAAAAUCCUGUUCUACCUUAGAAGUCUCCAGAGUUAUUUUCCUAAAUUAAGAAGAACUGGCUUUGAAGUUACUCAUUAUGCCACACACAAUGGUUGAAAAGAGCAUCUCUUAUGUACUGUGUAUAUUUCAGCAUCCACUCAGCUUCUUAGGUAGAAAAGGAAGAGUCUUCCACAGUGUAUUUUAUCCAUAUUUGGGUCAGAAACUCUUCUUUACCACGGAGCGUGAUGGAAGAAAGAUAUGGGAUGGUAACAGUAGGCCAGGGAUGUAAUAAUCACAAAAUUUGAGAUAUUUUGUGACUGGUGACUCACGCCUGUGAUCCCAGCAUUUUGGGAGGCCAAAGCGGGCGGAUCACCUGAGGUCAGGAGUUCAAGACCAGCUUGGCCAAUGUAGUGAAACCUCAUCUCUACUAAAAAAAUAUAAAAAUUAGCUGGGUGUGGUGGUGCACACCUGUAAUCCUAGCUACUCAGGAGGCUGAGGCAGGAGAAUAGCUUGAACCAAGGAGGUGGAGGUUGCAGUGAGCUGAGAUUGUGCCACCACUGCAUUCCAGUCUGGGUGACAGAGCGA